ACACACGCUGCCCCUAUGCACACCUUGCCAUCCAACACGGCCCCUAUAGACACAGCCACUCACCCACGCUGUCCCUCAGGGCACCCCAAACAGGUGUACCCCAAAGUCUGUGCCCUCUUCAGCCCCUGUUCCCUGAACCGCAGUGGCAUCACUCUGCGUACAGACCCCGGAGCUCCCCUGCCCCGGCCCCCCUGUGCCUGUGCUGUGCUGGCCCCAGUGCUGCGGGGGGACUGGGUGACCCUGACUCCUGGGAAGAGGGGACACUCGGCAGAGCCCCGGGGAUCAGCGCUGGGCGCCGAUGCAAGUGCUGGCCUUGCAGCAGCAGGAGCUCACAGCUGGGGAAGGCAGGCACACAGGGCCACAGCAGCCCAUGGCGAGCCCCGCGUGCCCCAAAUGAUGAAGGCGAGGGCAAGGAAGGGCAAGGAAGGGCAAGGAAGGGCAAGAAGGGCAAGGAAGAUGAGGAGGGUGAGGAAGAUGAGGAGGGUGAGGGGGCCUGUGGUGCUUCCAGUAGGUUCGAGAGCUGGCGCAGGCAGGCAGGGGACAGUUCACACCCCUAUUUCCUCCCUGGCCGACGGUUCUUAUCAUUUGUGUUUGGGGGAGAUUAGCUCGAGCUGGCACCAUUUCAGAGCGGGGAAGGAGGGGAGGAUGGGGGGGGGGCCGAUCUGGGAAGCAGAGCCCAGGGAAACAGCAGCGGGGUGGUGUGUCUGCUGCCUCUGCAUGCGUCAAGGGUCAAACUGCAAAGGCAGAAGAGCCCUGCAAACUGGUGGCAUGAGAAUAAAUGGGUGGAAAAGGCUCCCAAACCCCUGAAACCAGUGGCCCUGUGCUGGACCGCAGCUCUGCCCGCUCCACUCCCACCUUGCCCAGGCUGCAAGGGAAAAGCAGACAGCCAGGCAUCCCCAAUAAAGUCCUAGAGAACCAUCCUGAUAGAUGGAGCCAAGGGGGAUGAAUCCUACCUCCCCGGAGAAUCUUUCAAGGGGAUGCAAGAACCACAUUUGGCUUGGCGCAUCCUUCCGUCGCAUCCCCAGAGAGCUGCAGGCACGGCGAGGCAACAGGCGAAGCUCCAUUCCCAAGGUCCUGCUACCAGCAUUGGCCGCAUCCCAGGCUCGGGAGGGGUGGAAGCAGGCAGGGCCCUGGGGGGCACCCAGGGAGCCCAUGACCGGUGCUGCCCCCCUGUACCAUGGCCUGGCCUCACCGGC